rnacentral:rRNA from 1 species
UACGAAGGGGGCUAGCGUUGCUCGGAAUUACUGGGCGUAAAGCGCACGUAGGCGGGUCGCUAAGUCGGGGGUGAAAUCCUGGAGCUCAACUCCAGAACUGCCUCCGAAACUGACGAUCUUGAGUUCGGGAGAGGUGAGUGGAACUGCGAGUGUAGAGGUGAAAUUCGUAGAUAUUCGCAAGAACACCAGUGGCGAAGGCGGCUCACUGGCCCGAUACUGACGCUGAGGUGCGAAAGCGUGGGGAGCAAACAGG